rnacentral:rRNA from 1 species
GGACGGGUGAGUAAUGCCUAGGAAUCUGCCUGGUAGUGGGGGACAACGUUUCGAAAGGAACGCUAAUACCGCAUACGUCCUACGGGAGAAAGCAGGGGACCUUCGGGCCUUGCGCUAUCAGAUGAGCCUAGGUCGGAUUAGCUAGUUGGUGGGGUAAUGGCUCACCAAGGCGACGAUCCGUAACUGGUCUGAGAGGAUGAUCAGUCACACUGGAACUGAAACACGGUCCAGACUCCUACGGGAGGCAGCAGUGGGGAAUAUUGGACAAUGGGCGAAAGCCUGAUCCAGCCAUGCCGCGUGUGUGAAGAAGGUCUUCGGAUUGUAAAGCACUUUAAGUUGGGAGGAAGGGCAGUAAGUUAAUACCUUGCUGUUUUGACGUUACCGACAGAAUAAGCACCGGCUAACUCUGUGCCAGCAGCCGCGGUAAUACAGAGGGUGCAAGCGUUAAUCGGAAUUACUGGGCGUAAAGCGCGCGUAGGUGGUUCGUUAAGUUGGAUGUGAAAGCCCCGGGCUCAACCUGGGAACUGCAUCCGAAACUGGCGAGCUAGAGUACGGUAGAGGGUGGUGGAAUUUCCUGUGUAGCGGUGAAAUGCGUAUAUAUAGGAAGGAACACCAGUGGCGAAGGCGACCACCUGGACUGAUACUGACACUGAGGUG